rnacentral:rRNA from 1 species
AUGAACGCUGGCGGCGUGCCUAAUACAUGCAAGUCGAGCGAACAGACGAGGAGCUUGCUCCUCUGACGUUAGCGGCGGACGGGUGAGUAACACGUGGAUAACCUACCUAUAAGACUGGGAUAACUUCGGGAAACCGGAGCUAAUACCGGAUAAUAUAUUGAACCGCAUGGUUCCAUAGUGAAAGACGGUUUUGCUGUCACCUAUAGAUGGAUCCGCGCCGCAUUAGCUAGUUGGUAAGGUAACGGCUUACCAAGGCAACGAUGCGUAGCCGACCUGAGAGGGUGAUCGGCCACACUGGAACUGAGACACGGUCCAGACUCCUACGGGAGGCAGCAGUAGGGAAUCUUCCGCAAUGGGCGAAAGCCUGACGGAGCAACGCCGCGUGAGUGAUGAAGGUCUUCGGAUCGUAAAACUCUGUUAUUAGGGAAGAACAAAUGUGUAAGUAACUAUGCACGUCUUGACGGUACCUAAUCAGAAAGCCACGGCUAACUACGUG